rnacentral:rRNA from 1 species
GGUCAAGUGAAGAAGCGCAUACGGUGGAUGCCUUGGCAGUCAGAGGCGAUGAAAGACGUGGUAGCCUGCGAAAAGCUUCGGGGAGUCGGCAAACAGACUUUGAUCCGGAGAUCUCUGAAUGGGGGAACCCACCUAGGAUAACCUAGGUAUCUUGUACUGAAUCCAUAGGUGCAAGAGGCGAACCAGGGGAACUGAAACAUCUAAGUACCCUGAGGAAAAGAAAUCAACCGAGAUUCCCUUAGUAGUGGCGAGCGAACGGGGAUUAGCCCUUAAGCUUCAUUGAUUUUAGCGGAACGCUCUGGAAAGUGCGGCCAUAGUGGGUGAUAGCCCCGUACGCGAAAGGAUCUUUGAAGUGAAAUCGAGUAGGACGGAGCACGAGAAACUUUGUCUGAACAUGGGGGGACCAUCCUCCAAGGCUAAAUACUACUGACUGACCGAUAGUGAACCAGUACCGUGAGGGAAAGGCGAAAAGAACCCCGGAGAGGGGAGUGAAAUAGAACCUGAAACCGUAUGCGUACAAGCAGUGGGAGCCUACUUGUUAGGUGACUGCGUACCUUUUGUAUAAUGGGUCAGCGACUUAUAUUCAGUGGCAAGCUUAACCGUAUAGGGUAGGCGUAGCGAAAGCGAGUCUUAAUAGGGCGUUUAGUCGCUGGGUAUAGACCCGAAACCGGGCGAUCUAUCCAUGAGCAGGUUGAAGGUUAGGUAACACUGACUGGAGGACCGAACCCACUCCCGUUGAAAAGGUAGGGGAUGACUUGUGGAUCGGAGUGAAAGGCUAAUCAAGCUCGGAGAUAGCUGGUUCUCCUCGAAAGCUAUUUAGGUAGCGCCUCAUGUAUCACUCUGGGGGGUAGAGCACUGUUUCGGCUAGGGGGUCAUCCCGACUUACCAAACCGAUGCAAACUCCGAAUACCCAGAAGUGCCGAGCAUGGGAGACACACGGCGGGUGCUAACGUCCGUCGUGAAAAGGGAAACAACCCAGACCGCCAGCUAAGGUCCCAAAGUUGUGGUUAAGUGGUAAACGAUGUGGGAAGGCUUAGACAGCUAGGAGGUUGGCUUAGAAGCAGCCACCCUUUAAAGAAAGCGUAAUAGCUCACUAGUCGAGUCGGCCUGCGCGGAAGAUGUAACGGGGCUCAAACCACACACCGAAGCUGCGGGUGUCACGUAAGUGACGCGGUAGAGGAGCGUUCUGUAAGCCUGUGAAGGUGAGUUGAGAAGCUUGCUGGAGGUAUCAGAAGUGCGAAUGCUGACAUGAGUAACGACAAUGGGUGUGAAAAACACCCACGCCGAAAGACCAAGGGUUCCUGCGCAACGUUAAUCGACGCAGGGUUAGUCGGUUCCUAAGGCGAGGCUGAAAAGCGUAGUCGAUGGGAAACAGGUUAAUAUUCCUGUACUUCUGGUUACUGCGAUGGAUGGGACGGAGAAGGCUAGGCCAGCUUGGCGUUGGUUGUCCAAGUUUAAGGUGGUAGGCUGAAAUCUUAGGUAAAUCCGGGGUUUCAAGGCCGAGAGCUGAUGACGAGUCGUCUUUUAGAUGACGAAGUGGUUGAUGCCAUGCUUCCAAGAAAAGCUUCUAAGCUUCAGGUAACCAGGAACCGUACCCCAAACCGACACAGGUGGUCGGGUAGAGAAUACCAAGGCGCUUGAGAGAACUCGGGUGAAGGAACUAGGCAAAAUGGCACCGUAACUUCGGGAGAAGGUGCGCCGGCUAGGGUGAAGGAUUUACUCCGUAAGCUCUGGCUGGUCGAAGAUACCAGGCCGCUGCGACUGUUUAUUAAAAACACAGCACUCUGCAAACACGAAAGUGGACGUAUAGGGUGUGACGCCUGCCCGGUGCCGGAAGGUUAAUUGAUGGGGUUAGCGCAAGCGAAGCUCUUGAUCGAAGCCCCGGUAAACGGCGGCCGUAACUAUAACGGUCCUAAGGUAGCGAAAUUCCUUGUCGGGUAAGUUCCGACCUGCACGAAUGGCGUAACGAUGGCGGCGCUGUCUCCACCCGAGACUCAGUGAAAUUGAAAUCGCUGUGAAGAUGCAGUGUAUCCGCGGCUAGACGGAAAGACCCCGUGAACCUUUACUGUAGCUUUGCACUGGACUUUGAGCCUGCUUGUGUAGGAUAGGUGGGAGGCUUUGAAGCGUGGACGCCAGUUCGCGUGGAGCCAUCCUUGAAAUACCACCCUGGCAUGCUUGAGGUUCUAACUCUGGUCCGUAAUCCGGAUCGAGGACAGUGUAUGGUGGGCAGUUUGACUGGGGCGGUCUCCUCCUAAAGAGUAACGGAGGAGUACGAAGGUGCGCUCAGACCGGUCGGAAAUCGGUCGCAGAGUAUAAAGGCAAAAGCGCGCUUGACUGCGAGACAGACACGUCGAGCAGGUACGAAAGUAGGUCUUAGUGAUCCGGUGGUUCUGUAUGGAAGGGCCAUCGCUCAACGGAUAAAAGGUACUCCGGGGAUAACAGGCUGAUACCGCCCAAGAGUUCAUAUCGACGGCGGUGUUUGGCACCUCGAUGUCGGCUCAUCACAUCCUGGGGCUGAAGCCGGUCCCAAGGGUAUGGCUGUUCGCCAUUUAAAGUGGUACGCGAGCUGGGUUUAGAACGUCGUGAGACAGUUCGGUCCCUAUCUGCCGUGGACGUUUGAGAUUUGAGAGGGGCUGCUCCUAGUACGAGAGGACCGGAGUGGACGAACCUCUGGUGUUCCGGUUGUCACGCCAGUGGCAUUGCCGGGUAGCUAUGUUCGGAAAAGAUAACCGCUGAAAGCAUCUAAGCGGGAAACUUGCCUCAAGAUGAGAUCUCACUGGGAACUUGAUUCCCCUGAAGGGCCGUCGAAGACUACGACGUUGAUAGGCUGGGUGUGUAAGCGUUGUGAGGCGUUGAGCUAACCAGUACUAAUUGCCCGUGAGGCUUGACCAU